GUAGGUGGCAAGCGUUGUCCGGAAUUAUUGGGCGUAAAGCGCGCGCAGGCGGUUCUUUAAGUCUGAUGUGAAAGCCCACGGCUCAACCGUGGAGGGUCAUUGGAAACUGGAGAACUUGAGUACAGAAGAGGAAAGCGGAAUGCCACGUGUAGCGGUGAAAUGCGUAGAGAUGUGGAGGAACACCAGUGGCGAAGGCGGCUUUCUGGUCUGUAACUGACGCUGAGGCGCGAAAGCGUGGGGAGCAAACAGGAUUAGAUACCCUGGUAGUCCACGCCGUAAACGAUGAGUGCUAAGUGUUAGGGGGGUUUUCCGCCCCCCUUAGUGCUGCAGCUAACGCAUUAAGCACUCCGCCUGGGAGUACGGCCGCAAGGCUG
rnacentral:rRNA from 1 species